AGCCCUCCAGGGAUCUUUGGGGUCUACGCUUCCCAUCGCCUCAGUGUCCGGUGCAUGAGGAAGGUGUCCUCUGAAGGGCGGGGCCGGAGUUGAAGUCGGAGAGGGGGCAGACCGUCCAGGGUCAGGUGUGGAGAUUCAUAAAAUAGUGUUUCUGGGUCACACAAGAUGGUCAUGUCUGGCCCCGGCCCAGGUGGCUCCUGUUGGGAGGUUGGGCCCAAAGCAACGUUACACUUUGGGAGGAAGGAUCCGGGUAAGGGGGUACAUGGAGGAAACCCCACGCCCAGACGCCAUCACCUUUGGGUGCGGGGCUCGAGCCUGUGGCGGCAGGAGAGCCAAUUUCUCCCUGAGCGCGGCAUUCAGAACCUGUUCCUCCGGCACCUGCAGGCUCACCAGGUCCCGGAAGAGCCGCUUGGAGCGCGGCACGUUCAGCCCUGAGAGCGCAGCGGGGACGGAGGUGAGUGGCGCGCCUCACCCCGACUCCCGCACGCGGCCGGCCGCCCGCCCCCCUCACCCUCGGACACGCUCUCCUCCAGGCCGCAGCGGAUCUGGAACGACUUUCUCAGCUGUUCCUCCACGGCCUUCGCAGCAUCAAAGUGGCUCCCGGCUGCGGCCCGCAGCUCCAGGCCCAAGGCCAGGCUGCUCUUCAGCACGGGCAUCUCCAGCUCCUGCGGCACCGCAGGCUGCGGCUCGGACCGCACCGGGGAGGGCGGCGUCAGGCGGAAGCGGACCUGGGAGCAGAAGGCAGGGCAGUGACCAGGAAGUGCUGUGGAACAUCAGAUAGAAUGGAUAGCACAGCCCAAAUUUUACAAAAAGGAUUUUAAAGGAAGAUCUCAAUGGUGGAACACUAGAGGCUUUCCUGCUAAAGUUAAGAACAAGAAAAGGCUGAUGCAGCUUUGGCAUGCAGGAAGUGUUGGAGCUGAGACUCGAAACUGUCCCCCAGGCCUUGGCCAUGCUGAUAAAUAUCUAGGCCCUACAGGAGUUCGUGUCCAUGAACCCAGUAAACGCA
rnacentral:lncRNA from 1 species